rnacentral:lncRNA from 1 species
CUGUAGUAAAAAUUAUACAACAAUAUGAUGCAUGGCUUUGUCAUAUUUCAGAUAAUUUAAUAGGUUUACUAGUCUUUGUAUAGAUUUUUUAAUGAGACAUGUUCAUAUCGUUUAAUUUUUAUCAUGGAUAUUUAAGUUAGAAAGUUACCUUAUUUAUCAGCUUGAGAUAAUGAAAACAGAAAAAAUAUCAACAGGUUUUUAAUAAUAUCAAGGAAUUUAUAAAACACAGUAAUGAAAUUUGGAGAAUAUCUGACAUUUUAUGAUUAAUGUGCAAUUGAUAUCAAAAGUCAAAUUGUUUUUUUUUAUACAUUUUCAAUUUUCUAGUAUUUACUCAAAAAAUAAGAAAAGAACUAAUAAACGAUACCAGGCUUUUACUUUGGUACGCUAGAAGCGUGUUUGGGCUACAUAAGACUCAUCAGUGAUACUUGGAUAAAAAGGUUUACGUUCGACUAAAAUACAAAGUUCAAAAGCAGCCAGGACAUAAUUUAGAAAUUUAAACAAGAUAUAAAAUCUGCUUUUGAAGGGCGAUUGCUAAAUUCCGUUAAUUUAUAUAUCAAUUUGAAUUCAUUAGAAAUACUGAAAAAGAACAACAAGAAUUUGCAAGAUGGUAUGAGCCUUAGUCGUACAAAUGUACAAGUAGACAUUGCCUAGUAAAGUAGCUGUGCAGGUGCAUGUAAUCUUUCCAAAAUCUAUUAUAUGUUGUAUUUAAUUUUCAUGAUUUUUCUGAUAUAUGAUAUUUUCAAAUUUAAAAAACAAUUUCUUUUGUGUUAAUCAAUGAGAAAG